rnacentral:rRNA from 1 species
AUUGAACGCUGGCGGCAUGCUUUACACAUGAAAGUCGACCGGUAACAGGCCGCAAGGUGCUGACGAGUGGCGAACGGGUGAGUAAUGCAUCGGAACGUGCCCAGUCGUGGGGGAUAACGCAGCGAAAGCUGUGCUAACACCGCAUACGAUCUAUGGCUGAAAGCGGGGGACCGUAAGGCCUCGCGCGAUUGGAGCGGCCGAUGUCAGAUUAGGUAGUUGGUGGGGUAAAGGGUCACCAAGCCAACGAUCUGUAGCUGGUCUGAGAUGACGACCAGCCACACUGGGACUGAGACACGGCCCAGACGCCUACGGGAGGCAGCAGUUGGGAAUUGUGGACAAUGGGCGCAAGCCUGAUCCAGUAAUGCCGCGUGCAGGAAGAAGGCCUUCGGGUUGUAAACUGCUUUUGUACGGAACGAAAAGGUCUGGGUUAAUACCGUGGGCUGAUGACGGUACCGUAAGAAUAAGCACCGGCGAACUACGUGCCAGCAGCCGCAGUAA